UUUCCAUAGGUGAACCUGCGGAAGGAUCAUUAACGAGUUAGGGUCUUCCAGGCCCGACCUCCCAACCCUAUGUUUAUUGAACCUCUGUUGCUUCGGCGGACCCGCCUCACGGCCGCCGGAGGACCGCUGCAAGGCGUCCUCUGGCCAGCGUCCGCCGAUGGCCAACCACUUAAACUCUGAAUGAAUCGUGUCAUAUGUCUAAGUCUAUGAUUAAAUUAAAGCAAAACUUUCAACAACGGAUCUCUUGGUUCUG
rnacentral:misc_RNA from 1 species